AGGUGCAGAGAUGUGCCCAGGGUCACCCAGCUGGUAUAUUGUGGAGUCAAGAUUUAAACCCAGCAUUCAGGCUCCUGAGCCCACAAUCUCAAAUACUAAUCUGGGGACAGUGAAGGCACUGGAUCCUGGAGUUGAAGAGGAAGCCAGAUUGAGCUCUUCUAGGAGACCUCUCUGACCACCCCAGCACGCAGUGGCUUCUCCACACUCCAGGCUUCGACUUGGGACCAGCGCCUGGCCGUAUGCGGGCAGAGGGGCCAGUUGUGUGGACCACAGUGUGCACAGCGCUCUAGAGGCAGCCCCUGAGGAGAAGCCAGUGCCCCAGGUCAUGCAGUGAGUCCAGUGAAGAGCUGGAGUCUGGCACCAGAGCCCACAUUCCCCUACCCUUGAUGCCCCACGCUGCACCCCUCCCAGUGUGAGAGCCUGGAAAUGGGAGGGGUCAGAGGAACAUCUGGGGGCUAUCAUAGUUUAGCUAUGACCCUGGGGGUCAGAAGCCCUCAAAUCACGUCACUGCUAUGGCACCUCUCUGGCUUCCACAUCUUCAGCUGUAAGACAGGGGCCCUGACCCCCAUGCCCACCAGUUUGGCAAGGAGCUCAUGGAGUGUUGCCACUCCCCACUCCUCCCCAUCGUCACCCUCCUCACCUCCAGGGUCCAAGCCUGAGUCUACCACUGCCUGUGCACCCCCACCCCCACUCCCACUCCUGGGUGUCAGGCGCCCCGCCCCAGCUCUGUAGGGGCACAGGAGGUGUGUCUCCACCCAAACAGACCCCCCAUCCUGACUUGCCCACUCCUCACGUUCCCAGA